GAGAUGAGGGUAUUUCUACUGCUUGGACUUGCAGCAGGGAGAAGCAGAUGGUCCUCAUUUCAUCAUGGGCUGCAAUACAUCUAACAGGGUUGCUGCAGCACAGCUGUCUUCUGAGGAGCUACAGAACAACCAUGAAGCCAGAAGCCAGACUCCAAGUGGCAGCGUUGACAGAACAUGGGCUGCCACCUCACAGGAGGGGGCAGCUUGGACAAGGGGCACUUCAGAGAACGGAAGCAAACUUGAAGUUGAAGCCAGAGAGGGAGACUUUCCUGAGAGAUCAACAGAAGGAUUUGCACCUUCUGAAAAAAGCAGCAACACACAAAGCACAGGUUAGGGAAAAGGAACUACGCAGGACACCACAACACACUGCAUCUUAUCCAGCAACGGACCACCAAACUACAGGUAAACAGACUGAAAAGGACUGCCCAAGUUUUCAAAGUCAAGAAAGCACAGAUGUCCCUCAGUCGUCACCUUUACAUGGUGAGAUAAGCGUACCGCUGCAGGAAAUAACUGCAGAAGAAACCACCAAUUAUUACACUGAGGACUUUACCAUUGAGUCUGAUAUAACUUACAACUGUAUCGAUGAAACAAUCUGGAUCUAAGCCAUCCUGCAAAGAAGGAGCCUCUCUGCUCCCUGCUGCUGUUUACCUCGGGGCUUAAGUAGAUGAUUUAUCCUGAGCUGAUGGUUGUGGUUACCUGUUACACCUUGGAAAACUCUAAUUUCACAUUUUUACACACUAGUUGGAGGAAACAAAAUAAAUAAGAAAAGCAAGAG
rnacentral:lncRNA from 1 species